AUUGAACGCUGGCGGCAGGCCUAACACAUGCAAGUCGAGCGGAUGAAGGGAGCUUGCUCCUGGAUUCAGCGGCGGACGGGUGAGUAAUGCCUAGGAAUCUGCCUGUAGUGGGGGAUAACGUCCGGAAACGGGCGCUAAUACCGCAUACGUCCUGAGGGAGAAAGUGGGGGAUCUUCGGACCUCACGCUAUCAGAUGAGCCUAGGUCGGAUUAGCUAGUUGGUGGGGUAAAGGCCUACCAAGGCGACGAUCCGUAACUGGUCUGAGAGGAUGAUCAGUCACACUGGAACUGAGACACGGUCCAGACUCCUACGGGAGGCAGCAGUGGGGAAUAUUGGACAAUGGGCGAAAGCCUGAUCCAGCCAUGCCGCGUGUGUGAAGAAGGUCUUCGGAUUGUAAAGCACUUUAAGUUGGGAGGAAGGGCAGUAAGUUAAUACCUUGCUGUUUUGACGUUACCAACAGAAUAAGCACCGGCUAACUUCGU
rnacentral:rRNA from 1 species